AUGUACCACGCGGACACUGCGGUGAUGAGCGCGCCGUCCGCGCCCGCCCGAUGGCUGCUCGCUACGUUUGUUAGCC
rnacentral:sRNA from 1 species